rnacentral:misc_RNA from 1 species
UGUGGGAGCGAGCUUGCUCGCGAUAGCGAUCUGUCAGUCAACAUUGAUGUUGCUGAUCCACCGCUAUCGCGAGCAAGCUCGCUCCCACA